rnacentral:rRNA from 1 species
GUGUCAGCCGCCGCGGUAAUACGUAGGUGGCGAGCGUUAUCCGGAUUUAUUGGGUUUAAAGGGUGCGUAGGCGGCUUAAUAAGUCGGUGGUUAAAAGUAGCAGCUUAACUGUUUUACAUGCCAUCGAUACUGUUGAGCUUGAGAUAUUUGGAGGCAGCUAGAAUUUCCGGUGUAGCGGUGAAAUGCAUAGAUACCGGAAGGAAUACCAAUUGCGAAGGCAGGUUGCUACGAAUAAACUGACGCUGAUGCACGAAAGCGUGGGGAUCAAACAGGAUUAGAUACCCCCGUAGUCC